rnacentral:rRNA from 1 species
UCAGAACGAACGCUGGCGGCAGGCCUAACACAUGCAAGUCGAGGGAUAUUAUUACUUUCGGGUAAUAUUAUACCGGCGCACGGGUGAGUAACGCGUGGGAAUAUACCAUAUGGUGGGGGACAACAGCUGGAAACGGCUGCUAAUACCGCAUACGCCCUAAGGGGGAAAGAUUUAUCGCCAUAUGAUUAGCCCGCGUUAGAUUAGAUAGUUGGUAGGGUAAUUGCCUGCCAAGUCUACGAUCUAUAGCUGGUCUGAGAGGAUGAUCAGCCACACUGGGACUGAGACACGGCCCAGACUCCUACGGGAGGCAGCAGUGGGGAAUAUUGCGCAAUGGAGGAAACUCUGACGCAGCCAUGCCGCGUGAGUGAAGAAGGCCUUAGGGUUGUAAAGCUCUUUCAAUAGGGAAGAUGAUGACGGUACCUAUAGAAGAAGCCCCGGCUAACUUCGUGCCAGCAGCCGCGGUAAUACGAAGGGGGCAGGCGUUGUUCGGAAUUACUGGGCGUAAAGGGCGUGUAGGCGGAUAUGUUAGUUAG